rnacentral:lncRNA from 1 species
UGAAAUUGGAUCACUACAAAAAAAAAUGCACACAAAAUAAGUAAAUCAUGUGGCUCAAAUAAACAAAUGAGAUUUAGGUGACACAUGGACUGUAUGGUUUUCACCAAAAAAGCAACUGGAAAAUGACCAUACAGUUUCAAUUGGAGAGUUGUGCACCCGACCUUAUGAAUCAUCUUGAGUUUCUGGGCUGAUUUUUAAAUUAUGAAUGAAGUUGAGGCCAUGUCCUUGGGAUUACAAGGCUUUGGCUUUCCGGAGGUAAGGCUUUUUGUAGCUUGUUGUGGUGUGUGGUGUGACAGAAGAAAGGACAAAAUAUUGGGAUGUUGUCUUGAAGCGGCAAGGGGAGAGGGAGGACUUUUGUGUUGGGGAACAAUUGUGGACAGAUUCUCUUCUAUGUUAUGGUUUGGGUUUGGAGAUUCC